rnacentral:rRNA from 1 species
AACGAACGCUGGCGGCAUGCCUAACACAUGCAAGUCGAACGAUACCAUCGGGUGCUGUCGCGCACCGGUGCGUAACGCGUGGGAACCUGCCCUUAGGUUCGGAAUAACUCCCCGAAAGGGGUGCUAAUACCGGAUCAUGUCUUCGGACCAAAGAUUUAUGGCCUUUGGUUGGGCCCGCGUUGGAUUCGCCAGUCGGUAGCGUAAAAGCCUACCAAGGCGACGAUCCCUAGCUGGUCUGAGAGCAUGGUCCGCCACACUGGGGGUGAGACCCGGCCCGGACUCUUGCGGAAGGGGGGAAUGCGGAAUAUUGGACGGCGGGCGAAGGCCUGAUGCAGUCAGGCCGCGAAAGUGAUGUUGGCAUUAAGGAUGAAAAGCUGUUUUACCCGGGAUGAUAAUGACGGUACCGGAAGAAUAAGCUCCGGCUAACUCCGUG